ensembl:lncRNA
GAAGAGAAGAACUACGUUCCCCAGAAGACUGUUCGAGUACUGUUAUCACUCCUGCUCAGGGGAACAGAUAUAAUGCCUGUAGGUCACCUGACCUGGGUCCUCUGCCUUCUUCUCAUCUUGUCGUGCUCGCUUUCGGAUCGUCUCGCUGCUGCUCCCGACUGCACGCAAGGCUUCGGUAUUAGUAUGUGACCUUCAGCUUAUUUUCAAAAAUGCCUAUGCCAUGGAAGAGAAAACCUGGGGUGACAAGAGGAAAGGAUCAGAGCAAAGCAGAGCUGCUGGAAACACAGAUACAGUUGGAAGUUGUGGGUCCUCCAAGAACACACGAUGCAGGAUCUAUAUUUCAGAAGGAAUGAAGGGAAGACGAAGGUUUCAAGGUUCCUGGCAUCCUAUGUUGCAGCUGUCAGUUGAGGUUCAGGCUGGAUAUCAGGAAAAGAAGCACCAUCAGCUGCAUAGUGAGAAAGAAAAAGGGGGAUGAUAAUUACCCUCUUGCACAGCCCAUCAAGAUCAGAGAGAUGAUCUGCCAAAGACCUUGAUAGCUUCAUCAUAUGUUUUUCUCUCUUUUUAUUGUCAUAAUGAAGGAUUCAAAUGGUAACAUCAACUCUGAGCACAGAUAGGCACUAGCAUUAUCUGAUUCAGCAUUUAUCUAUGAUACUUUGGUUUUACACUAAUAGUUGACAGGCUGAAGCUCAGUGAAGCCAUAAUCCUAAAAGUAAAAACAAUGAAAUAAUCAGCUGAUAGAAAUAGCAAUAGGACCUAUUUUAAGAGGAUGCAUAUGUGUAUAUAAAUAAAGAAAUAUUAAAUCAAAAUUUGCCUGUCAUAAAGUCAUUGUAUCAAAAUAACAGGAAUGAUUUAGAUUUCUGAGGACAGUACUUCUUUCAAUCCACAGUUUAAAUAAAGGCACGCAGAAUUACUGAAGCUUUAGCUGCCCUUUGUUCUCAAGGAAAAAAAAAAAAAAAAAAA